UACAAUCUCUGGGGUGGGACCCAGUAUCGUUGAAGCUCCCUAGGUGACUUCACUGUGCAUACAAAUUGAGAAUCCUGCUCUAUGACGUUCAGUCAUUUUGUCUUUUGAGUACCAGCUUCCUUCUCAGUAACAAGUGGACAGCAAAUACCCAGCUCAUCAGCUUUUUGGGAAAAUCAAAUGAAUAUAUGCAGUGUCUGACGUAAAGGUCUUCUGUGCUAAAAGACAGAUUAACAAGAGAAAAGCAUGUCAGAGCCUUCAUAAGGUAAUGAAGACCCAAGAAAGUGGUUAAACCUGAGUGUUUUUAUCCGUCGUUUGAUGAAGAGCAGAGAGUUGUGGAGAAACAUGGCAGGACAAAGGGGGCAUGAGCUAAGUGUAAUAAACUGGGAGAAACUUAGCAAGGCCCACUC